AGAGUCGAUCGGACAGUCGCUGCUUCGAGCUGCUGCGGUAGCUGGAAGGGGAGGAAAGUCCGGGCUCCAUAGGGCGAAGUGCCAGGUAACGCCUGGGAGGCGCGAGCCUACGGAAAGUGCCACAGAAAACAACCGCCUAAGCGCUUCGGCGCCGGUAAGGGUGAAAAGGUGCGGUAAGAGCGCACCGCACGGCUGGCAACAGUCCGUGGCUAGGUAAACCCCACUUGGAGCAAGACCAAAUAGGGACCCUUCGGCGUGGCCCGCGCUGGGUCCGGGUAGGUUGCUAGAGGCAGUCAGCGAUGGCUGUCGUAGAGGAAUGACUGUCCUCGACAGAACCCGGCUUACAGAUCGACUCUCCCC
rfam:Pseudomonas balearica DSM 6083 genome assembly, contig: Ga0056079_109